rnacentral:rRNA from 1 species
UACGUAGGGUGCAAGCGUUAAUCGGAAUUACUGGGCGUAAAGCGUGCGCAGGCGGCUCGGAAAGAAAGAUGUGAAAUCCCAGGGCUUAACCUUGAAAUGGCAUUUUUAACUCCCGAGCUAGAGUAUGUCAGAGGGGGGUAGAAUUCCACGUGUAGCAGUGAAAUGCGUAGAGAUGUGGAGGAAUACCGAUGGCGAAGGCAGCCCCCUGGGAUAAUACUGACGCUCAGGCACGAAAGCGUGGGGAGCAAACAGG